rnacentral:rRNA from 1 species
GACGAACGCUGGCGGCGUGCUUAACACAUGCAAGUCGAACGGAAAGGCCCUGCUUUUGUGGGGUGCUCGAGUGGCGAACGGGUGAGUAAUACGUGAGUAACCUGCCCUUGACUUUGGGAUAACUUCAGGAAACUGGGGCUAAUACCGGAUAGGAGCUCCUGCUGCAUGGUGGGGGUUGGAAAGUUUCGGCGGUUGGGGAUGGACUCGCGGCUUAUCAGCUUGUUGGUGGGGUAGUGGCUUACCAAGGCUUUGACGGGUAGCCGGCCUGAGAGGGUGACCGGCCACAUUGGGACUGAGAUACGGCCCAGACUGCUACGGGAGGCAGCAGUGGGGAAUAUUGCACAAUGGGCGGAAGCCUGAUGCAGCAACGCCGCGUGCGGGAUGACGGCCUUCGGGUUGUAAACCGCUUUCGCCUGUGACGAAGCGUGAGUGACGGUAAUGGGUAAAGAAGCACCGGCUAACUACGUG